rnacentral:rRNA from 1 species
CAGUCGCCGCGGGAAUACGAAGGGGGCUAGCGUUGCUCGGAAUUACUGGGCGUAAAGGGAGCGUAGGCGGACAUUUAAGUCAGGGGUGAAAUCCCAGAGCUCAACUCUGGAACUGCCUUUGAUACUGGGUGUCUUGAGUGUGAUAGAGGUAUGUGGAACUCCGAGUGUAGAGGUGAAAUUCGAAGAUAUUCGGAAGAACACCAGUGGCGAAGGCGACAUACUGGAUCAUUACUGACGCUGAGGCUCGAAAGCGUGGGGAGCAAACAGGAUUAGAUACCCCUGUAGUCCCUGUCUCUUAUAC